AGCCUCUGCUGGUGAUACCCAAGCAAACAGGGUCUGGAGUGGACCUCCAGCAAACUCCAGCACACCUGCAGCAGAGGGGCCUGACUGUUAGAAGGAAAACGAACAAACAGAAAGGAAUAGCAUCAACAUCAACAAAAAGGACAUCCACACAAAAACCCCAUCUGAAGGUCACCAGCAUCAAAGACAAAGGAAACAAUGCCAAGAAUACGUUAAUCUAAACCCAUGAUGUUUCUACAUCUCAAAGAACAGAGAGAAAAGGAAACUGGAGAGAGGCCAGAAGUGACCAACUCUAUUCCCUCAUUUCUGUGUUAUACUCCCUUUGUCUAAUCUUCCCUACCCUACCAGGUGGUUUAAGAAUUUUAUCCUUUCUCCAGACUAGAAGAGGAAGUGGGGGCCGGAAUUAGGUGUAUACAAAUUGUUGGAAAGCCUUUGUGUGGAUUUGGAGGGCUGAAGUAGAGUAUCAUUUUUACAAAGCAGCCCAAGCCUCUAAUCUGAGCAGGAAGAUUCACACUCAUUCUCUGGCAUGAGUCCUAUCAGGAGGAUCAAUGAAGCCAAGGCUGUAGAAAUAAAUAAUUAAUCUCUCCACCCAAGGAGGCUAGUAAACAAUAUUCAAUACGUGAAUACUGAGUUCUGCCAAGAGGAAGAAGCAUAUAAACCAGGCAACUGCUGAACGCAUUGCCAAAAAGGGAGACUUACGCAUCAUUCACUAAAGCUUUCCAAAAACUAAAUCAGAUCCAAGAACAGAUAAACUCCUGCAGAAUGACAAUGGUGGAGAAAUUGACCUCCCAGCAUUGCAGACUUACAUCAGUUGUUCUGAUGUUCUUAGUUAUAUCAGAUUCCUUCCAGAAUCUUCUAAAUAUAUCAGACGGUCAGACACAACCCCAGGCCCUAAUAAAAAACCCUGAUGCUGGCCUACAGAUGUGCAAUUUAAUAAACUUUCUCCAUGAUUCUGGUACACAUCCAACAUAGAAGAACCACUUAGUACUUCUCUCUGGCUCAUAUUUCUUCCACUAUUUACUAAAUGUCGACCUUAGGCUAAUUUCUUAAAUCCGUGUCCAAGGGUUUCUUUAAAUGGAGAUAAUAUUACCUUAUCGUCAAUCUAUUGUAAGAAUUAGAUAAAAGGGUGCAUGCGAAGGACCAAGCAGUGUAGAUGUCACACUGUAAGUGCUUAAUACGUGUCUCAGCUUAUUAUUCUGCAAGAGAAGUUAACUACCUAAUAAAUUGUGUAGAUAUCAAGUGCCCCUCAUGGCACUUUAAUCAAAGAAAUCUGUUGUUAAUUCCUAUUGUAAACCUCAGUUGCUACAUCAGCCAGCUCUUCAAAGGGAUAAAUAUGACAUUAUUAUUUUCUAAAUGACUUUUAUUUUCUAAAUGCUCUUAGAGUGUUUGAUCCCCCGGAAGCUAUCAUCAUUAAUGAUUUCUCGAGUAUACUGAGAGUAAUGUUUAGGUGUAAAGGAAGUGAAAAGUAAACAUGAAUGCUUCUUUGCUCUUCAAAGAUGAAGGUUCUGAGAUCAAAGAGCCUGAGUGAUGUGACCACAUCCCUAAAGAUGGUGCCAAAUGCCGCCCUACUGAUAAGGCUGCUGUGGGGACCGUGCACCUGUGUUCUUCUCUUAAUACUUACUCUGGGUCUCUGUUGACAAGGAACAUUUUGAAGUUUCUAAGAAUUAUUUAAUAACCCUAAUAAUCAUUGUUUCUUUAGUGACUCAAGUCUACACCUGUAAUGCUCAGGUUUUUCUUUCUUUUUUCAAUCGGGGAACGUAUUUUUUUUUUCUUGUAGUCUCUUAAAUAACAGAUUAUAUAAUAAAAAAGAGAAACUUUCUCAAGAAGGAAGCUAUCUGCACUGCUCUGCUGAACUCUAAGCCACCUCUGCUACUAAAACAGAUAGUAGCCCCUGUUGGGGUCUCUGGAGCAGGGAAAUCCAAGCUGUCAUGGAGCAUGUAUUCAGUAACCAAAGAGGAUUCUACAAGUUUUGUUUUUCUGGCUAGGUGACUUCA
rnacentral:lncRNA from 10 species